UGGGGAAUAUUGCACAAUGGGCGCAAGCCUGAUGCAGCCAUGCCGCGUGUGUGAAGAAGGCCUUCGGGUUGUAAAGCACUUUCAGCGGGGAGGAAGGCGUUAAGGUUAAUAACCUUGGCGAUUGACGUUACCCGCAGAAGAAGCACCGGCUAACUCCGUGCCAGCAGCCGCGGUAAUACGGAGGGUGCAAGCGUUAAUCGGAAUUACUUGGCGUAAAGCGCACGCAGGCGGUCUGUCAAGUCGGAUGUGAAAUCCCCGGGCUCAACCUGGGAACUGCAUUCGAAACUGGCAGGCUAGAGUCUUGUAGAGGGGGGUAGAAUUCCAGGUGUAGCGGUGAAAUGCGUAGAGAUCUGGAGGAAUACCGGUGGCGAAGGCGGCCCCCUGGACGAAGACUGACGCUCAGGUGCGAAAGCGUGGGGAGCAAACAGG
rnacentral:rRNA from 1 species